rnacentral:rRNA from 1 species
UACGUAGGCAGCAAGCGUUGUUCGGAGUUACUGGGCGUAAAGAGUGCGUAGGUGGUGCCCUAAGUCUGUUGUGAAAUCUCCCGGCUUAACUGGGAGGGUGCGGUGGAAACUGGGGUGCUUGAGUGUGGGAGAGGUAAGCGGGAAUUCCUGGUGUAGCGGUGAAAUGACGUAGAUAUCAGGAGGAACACCGGUGGUGUAGACGGCUUACUGGACCACGACUGACACUGAGGCACGAAAGCGUGGGUAGCAAACAGG